UGAUAACACUCUCUGGAGUUGCUACACUACCAUAAUGAAACUGCACUGGGUCUUUUUCUAUCUGAUAGCAGGGGGAAUAAAAUAAUU
ensembl:snoRNA